AACGACAAAUCAGAAGAUAAAGUCAUCCUCUCCUUCAACCUUCAACUCUCUCCUUCAACCUUCACAUCUGAAAAAACAAAAAACCAAAAUUGCAUCAAUUCAUCCAUUCAAGCAUCAAUUAUCUCCAACCUUAAAUCCUAUGUCAAAUUGUUAACACAUUGCUAACACGAACCGCAUCAUCCACUGAGAACAGAAACCUAUCCGAUCCAAAAAAAUCAAUCCCAUAUUUGCAUCAUCCUCCGCAAGGAACUCCCGUAAUUUCCUCCUGAUUGUCUCCUACCUAUCCAACUCUGCCUCAAAUGUCACCCUCUUCACCGGACCACCAUCACCACGCUCCCCUGCGAGUCUGCGACACGAGGCCAAACAUCCCAAAAAUCAUCAAAACAGGCGUUGAAUUGAACCUGAAACCGCACACAAUCGUUGAGAAAACUUACUGACUACAAAGCCGAUUGAAACGGUAACUCAACUAAACACCAUUCAAGCAUCAAUUAUCUCCAACCUUAAAUCCUAUGUCAAAUUGUUAGUUUAAUUUCAAAAAGAAAACCCAAGAAGCCUCAUUUUUUGUCGUUUAUGGGUGGGUUUUGCUGUUGAAUUUUCCAAUGAGAAUCAGUUAAUCCCUGAGGUGGAGCAACAAUUGCUUUAGCAAGUCAUGAGUCUCACACCAGAGCAGAUCAAUAUGUUGCCUCCAGAGCAGAGGCAUCAAGUCCUUAAAUUUUAACAGAUGCUUUGUCAAUGAUGUAGUGUCAGUAACUCAUUUCAGUUAUAUGUGUGUGGGUUAUUUAGUUUUCCGAUGUUGUAUGAGUAAGACAGAAAUAGAUGGCUAAGUUUCAAAUUCAAAACCCUCUAAAUGUAUGGCUAUAAAACGUUGUGAGAGAAAUUAGUUUUAAUGUUACCCCACUGGUUUUUCUCGAGGACUAGGUGAGCUUCGACAGUUGGUUGUAAUUAGAUCUUUUCCGUUCCCAGGUGAGUUUGGAAAAUAAUGGAAGAAGAACCAACCCUUUUGUGCCAAAGUGAGUUUCUUUAGGUGACUUUGAAAACACUUACCAAAAAUUGCUACCGAUGUAAUUUUCAUGUUAAUUAAGUUAUGACUCGUAAUUUUAGGAACGUGGUUGCUUAUGGCUCAACCAUGUUGAAAUUGAGUAUUCCUUACUAUGUUUUGUAAAUCAUAUUGAUUUCUAUUUUAGAAUGUUGUAUAUAAAAUUGCAAUGUUGGUAUAAUGCUCUGUGUUUUUUCUCCUUUAUAGAAACACGUACAAAAAUAAAUAUGAUGGACAAAAAUUAAAAGUCACCUUAAAAACAAAACAAGAACCGUGCAUCGCACGGGUGCAAAACUAGUUGAUAUUCAAAGUAAAUAUCGAAACAAAUCAAACCAUAUCACACACGACUAUAUAUAUAUAUAUAUAUAUAUAUUUCGGUUUUUUCAUGAAAUGCCCCUGAGGUUUGCAAUAAUGCACCAAAUACCCCUGCGCGUUUCAAAAUUCAUAGAAUACCCCUAUUUUUCCGUACUGUUCAUUAAAUGCACCUGUACUUAACGGACGUUAGCCUGCCGUUGGCUGUGUUUUACCAUUCUACCCUUAAUUCAUAUUUGGGGCUAUUAAGGAUGAAAAACCCUAAAGAAAAUCAAAAAAAAAAAAAAAAGAAUCUCAAUCUUCUUCGCUUUCUCUCUCAUCUCCCCUGUUCUUCUUCCUUGAAUUCUACUCAAACGCUACAAAAUCUGGGUGUUCUUUGGGUGAAUUCGGGACAAAAAGGGGAUAUUUGAAGCGAUUUCGAUCUCACCCCCAAUUCAUCAAUGGCAGAUUCACCUCAAAUUACUCAGAAACACAAGGCUCCAUGAGGGUUCGAUCUCACCCCCAAUUCAUCAACAGCCAUUGAUCUUCUUCCAGUGAUUUGGUGGUGCAAGUGGUGGGAAGUCCGACGAAUCCACCAUUGUCGCCGACGAAGGUUGAAGGCUGGCCAAUUCCGCAAACUCCAAGAAGAGGAAGGAACCCGAGAAGUUGCAGAAGGUUGAAGAAGUGGGUCCUGUUUGGUGGGUUGAAACCUCCAAGAACAUCUCCCUUCAUUUUCAAUUCGAUCCAGAUGUUUCUGAUAGUUUUGCUUAUGAGGGUGCAGUACUGAACGAACUAAAGCAGUGGAAGGAGCUCUAUGGAGAAGGAGGGUCAAGAAAUGAGCAACUUACUUACUUCUUAUAGGAAGGUGGUAUGGAGAAGGCGGGUCAAGAAAGAAGGAUCAGUUGUAAGAGAACUCUGAGUCCUCUUUGGCAAUAGAUACAUAUCAUAAGGCACUGAAGGAAGCUUAUGUAAUUUGUAUUUCUUGUUAAACACUUUUGGUGGGCGAGUGGGAAAAAGCGAGUUUUAGAUAUAGAUGCAACGAGGGCUUACAUAUAUCUACUUAUACCGUAUUCUGUAUUAAGAGUUUGCUCAUGUUGUAUAAGAAAAAUAAAGCCUAAUUUAACUUACAAUUAA